CCUACGGGUGGCAGCAGUGGGGAAUAUUGGACAAUGGGGGAAACCCUGAUGCAGCGACGCCGCGUGAGUGAAGCAGUCCUUCGUUAUGUAAAGCUCUUUCAGCAGGGAAGAAAAUGACGGUAUCUGAGUAGGAUGCCCUGGCUAACUACGUGCACACAGACGCGGUAAUUAGCAGGGGGCGAGAGUUAUCCGGAUGUACUGGGCGUAAAGGGAGCGUAUAGGGUGGUGCAAGUCUGGAGUGAAAGGCGGGGGCUCAACCCCCAGACUGCAGUUGAAACUGUAAGGCUGGAGUGCAGUAGAGGUAGGUGGAAUUCCGAGUGUAGCGGUGAAAUGCGUAGAUAUUAGGAAGAACCCAGGUGGCGAAGGCAGCUUGCUGGACUGUAACUGACGUUGAGGCUCGAAAGCGUGGGGAGCAAACAGGAUUAGAUACCCGAGUAGUC
rnacentral:rRNA from 1 species